rnacentral:rRNA from 1 species
UGUAAGCGUAUACCAAAGUCGUUGCAGUUAAAGCGCUCGUAGUCGGAAUUUGGCAGUUCCGGAUGUGUGCACGUCGUGUGCGCACUUCGCGGGGAUUGCUUUUGUGGUCUUGCGUAGGAUGAGGCACUUUUAUUAGUGAACGUCCUCACGCAACCACUUUUUACUGUGAGAAAAUCAGAGUGCUCAAAGCAGGCAUUUGCCGUGAAUGUAUUAGCAUGGAAUAAUAGAAUAGGACUUGGUUCUAUUUUGUUGGUUUGUUGGGACUGAGUAAUGAUUAAGAGGGACAGUUGGGGGCAUUUGUAUUUCGGUGCUAGAGGUGAAAUUCUUAGAUUACCGAAAGACAAACUGCUGCGAAAGCGUCUGCCAAGGAUGUUUUCAUUGA